GAUGAACGCUGGCGGCGUGCCUAAUACAUGCAAGUAGAACGCUGAAGGAGGAGCUUGCUCUUCUGGAUGAGUUGCGAACGGGUGAGUAACGCGUAGGUAACCUGCCUGUUAGCGGGGGAUAACUAUUGGAAACGAUAGCUAAUACCGCAUGACAACAGUUAUUGCAUGAUAACUGUUUAAAAGGGGCAACUGCUCCACUACCAGAUGGACCUGCGUUGUAUUAGCUAGUUGGUGAGGUAACGGCUCACCAAGGCGACGAUACAUAGCCGACCUGAGAGGGUGAUCGCCCACACGGGAACGGAGACACGGCCCAGACGCCUACGGGAGGCAGCAGUAGGGAAUCUUCGGCAAUGGCCGAAAGCCUGACGGAGCAACGCCGCGUGAGUGAGGAAGGUUUUCGGAUCGUAAACCUCUGUGUUAAGGGAAGAACAAGUGUGGAAGUGAAAAGUCACCACUUGACGGUACCUUACCAGAAAGGGACGGCUAACUACGUG
rnacentral:rRNA from 1 species